GUGCUCUUGCUCCCCAUGAGGCUGCCUACAAAAAUAAGACUCAUUAUUCCUUUCUUCCUAUUGUCUUCUUCCUUUGCUUGUGAUGCUUUUGUCUGUUCCUGAUCCUCCUAUUCUUCCUAAGACCCCUUUUCAGCCUGUGCCUGUCCACGUGGAGCUUACAUCACACGGUGGCUUUUCAGUGAUCCCUACAGCAAGAAUAGAUAUAUUUGUCUUUCUUAUUUAUGACCAAAGCAAGGGAACAGGAAGCCCAGAAACAGAUCUGUAUGUAUCAGGAUUUCGGAUUUAUGACAGAGGGCACUGCUGAGCAGUGGGGAAUGGAUGAUCAGUUUAAUAAAUAGUGCUGGUUCAACAGGAUAUCUACAAGGAAAAAAAAAAAGUAUCUUGAUCCUAUCUUGAUCCUUGAAUUUAUGAAAAUAAAUUCCAACAAGAUCAAUCUAAAGAAGAAAAUUAAAAUUGCAUGUAUAAGAUAACAGUAUCUUCAUAACCUUGGGGGUAGCCAUUCAGUUCCUAAAGAAGACACAGAAAGUAUUCACCAUAAAGGAAAAGCUUGAAAAAUUGGGUGACGUUAAAAUGAGAUACUUCUGGUUGGUCAUCAAGACAUCAGUAAAAGUGAGCCAAAGCAGGGAGCAUGGAGAAGGUAGAUGCAGUACCCAUAACUAGCAAGCGGAAGCAUAUCCAGACUACAUAAAGAACGCCAACAAAUCCAUAAGAGCCCUUCCCCACAAGGCAGGCAAAAGAAUGCUUCGUACUUAGGAAUUGUGCUGGUAAACAGUUUCCUUCUCCCGGUUCCAGGUUUUAAUCAGUGUGUCCUGGAUCAUUGGCACAACCUGGUGGCUGGCCUUGGGAACUGUCUCACCCAGGGCUCUUGUCAUUUCCUUUUUGUGUGCGGCCUUUCCUGUGUGUUGCUUCACUCAGCUCUUGAUUCUGCCCCACGUACCUCCUUUCUCAUGAACGCAUAUGCCUGUUCCUCUUUUCCUUUGGCUUGUUAACUUUUGAUCAGCUAUUUUAAGAAUAUUUCUCUCUGGCUUUUUUUUUUUUCCCCCUUCCUUUUUCAUUUCCCUUUUUGUACCUUCUCGUUGAGCCCAAAACCUUGUGGUUGUAAAAGCUGUCCUAAAAUAUCUCAGAGACUUUGGGGGAGUAGACUUGUGCUGUGGGACUCCAGAGACAGAACAAGAACCUGAACAGGCUGGUGUUUACCCAUAGAGAGUUUUCUUCUUUGCUGUACUCAAGAAGUAGGGUAGGAGAUCCUGGAGGAAGUCGAGUCUAGGCAGUGACUUGGGCUAGUGUUGUUUAUGGAGGGCCUUAUGCCUCGCAUAGGCAGGUGGAUUAUGAUAAUCCCUUCCAUUCUUAUCACCAAAGCCCUUGACAGACCCUUCGUGCAUGUCCAGAGCAACAGCACUCAGCUGGGGGAAAGCCAAGUUCCUCUGCACUUCUGGCAGGUCAAGGUGGGGCACAGAUAGUAGUACUUUAAUUGUAGCAUGUAUACUUAAAAAUGAUUCCAGCACACUCUCCAUCUGCAGCCCUCUGCAACAGGCCAGUUAAAAACCAUUGAC
rnacentral:lncRNA from 1 species